CUGUCCUCUCCCCCUGUAUCUCUCCAGACAGGUGUUAGGACUAGUAGAGUCUGUAUGUUAUCUAACUGUCCUCUCCCCUGUAUCUCUCCAGACAGGUGUUAGGACUAGUGUAGUCUGUAUGUUAUCUAACUGUCCUCUCCCCUGUAUCUCUCCAGACAGGUGUUAGGACUAGUAGAGUCUGUAUGUUAUCUAACUGUCCUCUCCCCCUGUAUCUCUCCAGACAGGUGUUAGGACUAGUAGAGUCUGUAUGUUAUCUAACUGUCCUCUCCCCUGUAUCUCUCCAGACAGGUGUUAGGACUAGUGUAGUCUGUAUGUUAUCUAACUGUCCUCUCCCCCUGUAUCUCUCCAGACAGGUGUUAGGACUAGUAGAGUCUGUAUGUUAUCUAACUGUCCUCUCCCCCUGUAUCUCUCCAGACAGGUGUUAGGACUAGUGUAGUCUGUAUGUUAUCUAACUGUCCUCUCCCCUGUAUCUCUCCAGACAGGUGUUAGGACUAGUGUAGUCUGUAUGUUAUCUAACUGUCCUCUCCCCUGUAUCUCUCCAGACAGGUGUUAGGACUAGUGUAGUCUGUAUGUUAUCUAACUGUCCUCUCCCCCUGUAUCUCUCCAGACAGGUGUUAGGACUAGUAGAGUCUGUAUGUUAUCUAACUGUCCUCUCCCCCUGUAUCUCUCCAGACAGGUGUUAGGACUAGUGUAGUCUGUAUGUUAUCUAACUGUCCUCUCCCCUGUAUCUCUCC